rnacentral:tRNA from 1 species
GGAGGCGUUCGGGUAGCUGGUGCUCCCCGCGGUCUUCAAAACCGUAGUGACCGAGGACCUCGGUCAGGCGGGUUCGAUUCCCGUCCGCCUCCG